rnacentral:rRNA from 1 species
CAAUAGCGUAUAUUUAAGUUGUUGCAGUUAAAAAGCUCGUAGUUGAAUUUUUGCUUGCCGCCGAUGUCGGAACUUCCGUACGUUCGGCGGCGUGCAUCCUUGGGUGGAACCUGUGUGGCAUUAGGUUGUCGUGCAGGGGAUGCUCAUCGUUUACUGUGAAAAAAUUAGAGUGUUCAAAGCAGGCUUACGCCGUUGAAUAUAUUAGCAUGGAAUAAUAAGAUAGGACCUUGGUACUAUUUUGUUGGUUUGCGCACCGAGGUAAUGAUUAACAGGGACAGUUGGGGGUAUUCGUAUUCCAUUGUCAGAGGUGAAAUUCUUGGAUUUCUGGAAGACGAACUACUGCGAAAGCAUUUACCAAGGAUGUUUNCAUUA